AUUGAACGCUGGCGGCAUGCCUUACACAUGCAAGUCGAACGGCAGCACGGGAGCAAUCCUGGUGGCGAGUGUCGAACGGGUGAGUAAUAAAUCUGAACGUGCCCAGUCGUGGGGGAUAGCCCGGCGAUAGCCGGACUAAUACCGCAUACGACCUACGGGUGAAAGCGGGGGACCGCAAGGCUUCGCGCGAUUGGAGCGGACGAUGUCAGAUGAGAUGGUGGGUGGGGUAAAAGCCCACCAAGCCGACGAUCUGUAGCUGGUCUUAGAGGACGACCAGCCACACUGGGACUGAGACACGGCCCAGACUCAUACGGGAGGUAGCAGUGGGGAGUUUUGGACAAUGGGGGCAACCCUGAUCCAGCCAUGCCGCGUGCGGGAAGAAGGCCUUCGGGUUGUAAACCGCUUUUGUCAGGGAAGAAACGCGCUGAGUUAAUACCUCGGCGUAAUGACGGUACCUGAAGAAUAAGCACCGGCUAACUACGUGCCAGCCGCCGCCGUAA
rnacentral:rRNA from 1 species